rnacentral:rRNA from 1 species
GUGGGGAAUAUUGGGCAAUGGGCGCAAGCCUGACCCAGCAACGCCGCGUGAAGGAAGAAGGCUUUCGGGUUGUAAACUUCUUUUACCAGGGACGAAACAAAUGACGGUACCUGGUGAAUAAGCCACGGCUAACUACGUGCCAGCAGCCGCGGUAAUACGUAGGUGGCGAGCGUUAUCCGGAUUUAUUGGGUGUAAAGGGCGUGUAGGCGGGACAGCAAGUCAGAUGUGAAAACCAGAGGCUCAACCUCUGGCCUGCAUUUGAAACUGUUGUUCUUGAGUGUCGGGGAGGUAAUCGGAAUUCCGUGUGUAGCGGUGAAAUGCGUAGAUAUACGGAGGAACACCAGUGGCGAAGGCGGAUUACUGGACGAUAACUGACGCUGAGGCGCGAAAGCGUGGGGAGCAAACAGGAUUAGAAACCCGGGUAGUCC